GGGAAUAUUGGACAAUGGGGGCAACCCUGAUCCAGCAAUGCCGCGUGUGUGAAGAAGGUCUUCGGAUUGUAAAGCACUUUCGACGGGGACGAUGAUGACGGUACCCGUAGAAGAAGCCCCGGCUAACUUCGUGCCAGCAGCCGCGGUAAUACGAAGGGGGCUAGCGUUGCUCGGAAUGACUGGGCGUAAAGGGCGUGUAGGCGGUUUACACAGUCAGAUGUGAAAUCCCCGGGCUUAACCUGGGAGCUGCAUUUGAUACGUGUAGACUAGAGUGUGAGAGAGGGUUGUGGAAUUCCCAGUGUAGAGGUGAAAUUCGUAGAUAUUGGGAAGAACACCGGUGGCGAAGGCGGCAACCUGGCUCAUGACUGACGCUGAGGCGCGAAAGCGUGGGGAGCAAACAGGUUAGAUACCCUGGUAGUCCACGCUGUAAACGAUGUGUGCUAGAUGUUGGGUA
rnacentral:rRNA from 1 species